rnacentral:rRNA from 1 species
CAGCAGCCGCGGGAACACGUAGGUGGCAAGCGUUGUCCGGAAUUAUUGGGCGUAAAGGGCUCGCAGGCGGUUUCUUAAGUCUGAUGUGAAAGCCCCCGGCUCAACCGGGGAGGGUCAUUGGAAACUGGGAAACUUGAGUGCAGAAGAGGAGAGUGGAAUUCCACGUGUAGCGGUGAAAUGCGUAGAGAUGUGGAGGAACACCAGUGGCGAAGGCGACUCUCUGGUCUGUAACUGACGCUGAGGAGCGAAAGCGUGGGGAGCGAACAGGAUUAGAUACCCCCGUAGUCCCUGUCUCUUAUAC